rnacentral:snoRNA from 1 species
CAAACCAAUGAUGAAAGCAUAUCAUGAAACAAAGAUUGAGAUUAAUCCAAUUCUGAGUCUCUAAAGUCCCAAAAAGUGUGUU